UAGCAAAUCACAUCAUUGACUAAAAUUCUUAUCACCACCACCAGGAGCAAAGGAGGGAAUAAGACUACAGUUUGUUGAUGAAGUCAGAAGUACGAACUCAUAUUCAGGUCCCUUGUAGCACCAGGAUGGGAAGCUAUGAGUAGCAGACACAUUGGUUUCUAGAAGAAAGCGCAGGAAACCACCGAAAAGGGGAAUAGAGGAAUGCAAAAGAAAAAAAGUUGCCUAAGAUAAAAUUGCACUGAGUCAAUUCGUAACAACAUCAAUAGGAGGGUGAAUCAGGACCAGUGCAAUAAAUCACCCUCAAUACUUCCUGUGAAUGGCAACUGCUGAAGGGAAGCUUCUGCCUCUCAUCAUACACUGCCUCAGGGGGGAACAAAAUAGAUCAUUACAAUGGAGGCCAAAGAGUGCUUGAAUGUCUCUGCCGAAGGCUUUCAAUAAAUAUUUGUUGAAAAAGAAAGGAAGAAAGAAAAUGAAGAAGGAACGAAGGAGGAAAGGAAAGAAGGAAAGAAGGAAGGAAGGAGUUAAUGAAGACUCAAGUUUCCAGGUGCUGUGCUCAGUCCAGGAAUACAAUGAUGAAUACGAUCAAGGCCCUUUCAGAGCUGACACACACUAUACAUAAUGCAUCAAAAAUUGCGUUCUCGCUAUAUUUCUGUUUAUUUGGUUUUAUCUGCAAGAAUAUAGAUAGCAUCUGCUUUGAUAUAAAACUUUUAUGUGUCUUAUGUAGUUGAUUUGUAAAUGUCCUAUCUAUAAAUAUAAAACAAUAAAUUACUAGUUACAGUUAACUUAGGAAAACUUUUAAUCAUGUCCUACAUUUUACACCUUGUAAUUUCUACCAAAUGUUUGUAUUUUUAUGUCUUAUUAAAUAUAAUAAAUAUUUGUCUUAACAUAUUUUAAUAGAAUUCCUCAUAUGUUUUGCAGAAAGCUAAUUAUGGUUUUC
rnacentral:lncRNA from 1 species